rnacentral:rRNA from 1 species
CCAGCCUACGGGGGGCAGCAGUGAGGAAUAUUGGUCAAUGGGCGGAAGCCUGAACCAGCCAAGUCGCGUGGGGGAAUAAGGCCCUACGGGUCGCAAACCUCUUUUGCCGGGGAGCAAGGGCCGGGACGAGUCCCGGUCCGGAGAGUACCCGGAGAAAAAGCAUCGGCUAACUCCGUGCCAGCAGCCGCGGUAAUACGGAGGAUGCGAGCGUUAUCCGGAUUUAUUGGGUUUAAAGGGUGCGUAGGCGGGCUUUUAAGUCAGUGGUAAAAAUUCGGGGCUCAACCCCGUCCGGCCGUUGAAACUGG